rnacentral:lncRNA from 1 species
AUGUGCUGCCAGUCUUGUAUGCUCCUCCUGAGACAGUGGUUGGCUUUUAAGGCAAUUAACAGAUUCCAAGAGUUCCUUUUGGAAAGUGGAAGAAGAGAACAAUCCCCUAUUAAAUUCCAAAGUCUGCCACUUCUGAAACUCAUUGCACUACUAGCUGCUCUGAUUAAGUGGCUCCUCAUUUCAGUUGAGGGAAGUACAAAUUGGCACCCUGGGCUCCCACAGUUACCUCUGGGUCUUUCUCAUGGGAAAUGCUUGGGAGCUGAGCACUAAAGCUAACAGAUGCCCAGCCUCAUGUCGGAACCAGAUCGAGCCACCACUGAGAUGAUAUCCAGCUCCUUUCUUAUUGAGCCGUUUCCCUAGCAGAUGGUGCAAUGCUGCAGGCACACUCCUUCCUGUUAAUUACCAGCCUUCGCUACAGAUGGAAAUGUCAGUCAGCCUCACAGGUCCUGGUUCCUGCCAUUGCCUCAGUCCAUAGCCCUCUACCUAGGCAAGAUGCUGCCAACACACACCAUGUGUUUUGUGACUGCUGACUAGGCAGGCAACAAAAAACAACUUAGUUCAUGAAUAUUCA